rnacentral:rRNA from 1 species
GUCUAUGGCCAUACCACCUGGAACCAUCUCAUCUGAUCUCUGAAGCUAAGCAGAGGCAGGCCUGGUUAGUAUUUGGAUGGGGGAGGAGAGUAAAUAAGGAGUUACUGUGGGGC